AGCAGCCGCGGUAAUUCCAGCUCCAAUAGCGUAUAUUAAAGUUGUUGCAGUUAAAAAGCUCGUAGUUGAAUUUCGGGGUUAGUAGGUUGGUCGUGCCACUGGUACGUACUGGUCUCACUGACUCCUCCUUCCUGAUGAACUGUAAUGCCAUUAAUUUGGUGUUGCGGGGAAACUGGACUGUUACCUUGAAAAAAUUAGAGUGUUUAAAGCAAGCUAACGCUUGAAUACAUUAGCAUGGAAUAAUGAAAUAGGACGUUCGAUCCUAUUUUGUGGUUUCUAGGAUUGACGUAAUGAUUAAUAGGGAUAGUUGGGGGCAUUAGUAUUCAAUUGUCAGAGGUGAAAUUCUUGGAUUUAUUGAAGACUAACUACUGCGAAAGCAUUUUGCCAAGGAUGUUUUUCAUUAAUCAAGAACGAAAGUUAGGGGAUCGAAGACGAUCAGAUACCGUCGUAGUCUUAACCAUAAACUAUGCCGACUAGGGAUCGGAUGAUGUAAUUUUUUAAUGACUCAUUCGGCGCCUUA
rnacentral:rRNA from 1 species